rnacentral:rRNA from 1 species
AUACGGAGAGUGCAAGCGUUGUUCGGAAUUACUGGGCGUAAAGCGCGCGUAGGCGGUCUGUUAUGUCAGAUGUGAAAGUCCUCGGCUCAACCGGGGAAGUGCAUUUGAAACUGGCAGACUUGAGUACUGGAGGGGGUGGUGGAAUUCCCGGUGUAGAGGUGAAAUUCGUAGAUAUCGGGAGGAAUACCGGUGGCGAAGGCGAUCACCUGGCCAGAUACUGACGCUGAGGUGCGAAAGCGUGGGGAGCAAACAGGAUUAGAAACCCCGGUAGUCC